GAUGAACGCUGGCGGCGUGCCUAACACAUGCAAGUCGAACGGAGUCGUUUUGGAAAUCUCUUCGGAGAUGGAAUUCUCGACUUAGUGGCGGACGGGUGAGUAACGCGUGAGCAAUCUGCCUUUAAGAGGGGGAUAACAGUCGGAAACGGCUGCUAAUACCGCAUAAAGCAUUAAAUUCGCAUGUUUUUGAUGCCAAAGGAGCAAUCCGCUUUUAGAUGAGCUCGCGUCUGAUUAGCUAGUUGGCGGGGUAACGGCCCACCAAGGCGACGAUCAGUAGCCGGACUGAGAGGUUGAACGGCCACAUUGGGACUGAGACACGGCCCAGACUCCUACGGGAGGCAGCAGUGGAGAAUAUUGCGCAAGGGGGGAAACCCUGACGCAGCAACGCCGCGUGAUAGAAGAAGGCCUUCGGGGUGUAAAGAUCUUUAAUCAGGGACGAAACAAAUGACGGUACCUGAAGAAUAAGCUCCGGCUAACUACGUG
rnacentral:rRNA from 1 species